CCUGCCCUCCCUCCCGUACCCAUGCUCCUCCCCUCUCUCCUCUCACUGCACAUCACGGUGGGGUCUUUUCAGUCCGGUGUAAACUCGAAUGACGCCUUUCGAUUCCCUUCGGCCACCCCAUCCGUCGUCCACGUCACAUUCGUGAAAUUCUCAAUAGUUCGCACGCAGACAGGAUUCAUUAUGAACAGAUUUCAUUUUUAUUCGAGCUACAAACGGAAGAGGUCAAAGUGAUAGUCCACUGCAGAAAUGUGUUUAAACCAAUUUCUCCUAUAUGUUACACGAGAGCAGACGAACAUCUGGCAAGAACCAACACGUGUCUGAAUUCUAAACAAUACAACGCCAUCUUGUGGCGGAUUUUUUUUUGUCUCUACAGAAAAACAAAAACAGCUCGCUGUUGCUUGGAUAUGUAAAAAUAGCCUGAAGACUCCUCACUUCAUUUAACAAAACAAAGAACAAAACAAUUCUGUGACCUGAAAAAAACGCUGACGGAAAGAGCUACCAUCUAACGGCCAACGAGAAAUUAUUGCAAUCAUCAUCAGCAGAAUUUUAAGAUUCUCGACUUCCGUAAUUGAAUUAAAUAAAACUAAAAUCACAGUAACCAUCCUCUCUUCCGCUACCCAGAAAAAAUGCAAACAUUGUUCCUACAGCAGUGUCUCAUUUUCCUAAUAAAAAGAAAAGAAAUAUCAAAGCUGAGAGAGACCGUGUCGAAGCCCACACAAUCCGGGGUUGCAACCUUGAUUCCUAUCUUCUUCGCUACAUAGAUAAGUUUGUCGUUAUGCCGGUAUUUUAUUGUACAAUGGAUUCCAGCGCUAUCUGUGGCAAGUAAUAGCUCUUUCAGACUAGUAGAACUCGAUCUUCCUACCGCCUGGAGCCAUUCUCCAAUUUGAACGUGGAACUUCUUGCAUCAUAGAUCAGAGUCCAAAGUACAGGCAAAAACAAAAAUAUUCCAGAUAUUUGGUCCAUAAAUUAUUCUGCCUUCGGGUAACAAAAUUUGGACGCAAGAUAUAAAUGUCUCCAAAAUGGUCCUCUCGAAUUGCGCGGACUCCAUAUACGAAUGUACUACACCGGUUUAUACGCAAUGCGUGAUGCACUUGCUCACACUUUAAAAAUAACAAAUAAUAAUAAUAAUCUUUCCUUACCUUCCAAUAACAACAGAUUUUUUUUUUUUUGUCGCUGCAGCCGUUCAUCCGUCCCGCCCGCACUCCCGUCCGGUUACACCCUGUUUGCGACAAGCUUUGUUUUUCUUUAAUUCUUUUGUGCAUUUUGAAACACAUUGGCGGAAUUUUUUUUUUUUUUCCGUUUGCUUCAAACAUUUCAGUCAUUUGAAUUAUAUCUAUUUCAAGUAUCCGUCUGUUUUUUUUUGUUCCCUUUUUAAUCAAAUAGAUAAACAGUCCUUUGAAACCAAUCCGUGUAGACACAAGAAAUGCAUUUGGGUACUUUUAAUGACGAAAUAAAAGCUUUAUGCAUUUUCGGCUCA